rnacentral:rRNA from 1 species
GACGAACGCUGGCGGCGUGCUUAACACAUGCAAGUCGAACGGAAAGGCCCUGCUUUUGUGGGGUGCUCGAGUGGCGAACGGGUGAGUAACACGUGAGUAACCUGCCCUUGACUUUGGGAUAACUUCAGGAAACUGGGGCUAAUACCGGAUAGGAGCUCCUGCUGCAUGGUGGGGGUUGGAAAGUUUCGGCGGUUGGUGAUGGACUCGCGGCUUAUCAGCUUGCUGGUGGGGUAGUGGCUUACCAAGGCUUUGACGGGUAGCCGGCCUGAGAGGGUGACCGGCCACAUUGGGACUGAGGUAGGGCCCAGACUCCUACGGGAGGCAGCAGUGGGGAAUAUUGCACAAUGGGCGGAAGCCUGAUGCAGCAACGCCGCGUGCGGGAUGACGGCCUUCGGGUUGUAAUCCGCUUUCGCCUGUGACGAAGCUUGAGUGACGGUAAUGGGUAAAGAAGCACCGGCUAACUACGUG